GUACUCAUGAUCAUGCAUUUUAGGAUAGCUCUAAUGUGGUUAUGACAUAAUUAUCCUUCUCAAUGCAUUAAUUUACAAUGUAGAGAAAAACUCUGCACGUUCAGCUGCACGACGACAGCAAGACAAUGACAACCAAACUGGCACUCGGUUCUAGUUGGAAGAAAAAGCCAGGAAUGAAUAAAUCUGAUGAUGAUGUUUUGUUUGAGAUUGAAUCUGAAAUGUUGGAAGUAUGACAAUGCACUGAUUCCCAAUUUAUGGCUAAGUAUAGAAGCAUGGCAACUGAAAAUGAGGUAGAAAUUCUACCGAACACAACUGUUGCAUGUCAAACUCUUGGCAAUGAUGGACCAGAACUUCGGGAAGACAGAAGAGGGAGUCAAGAUGGUGAAAAAGUUGAAUUUAAUUCUUCUACUUUGGAGGCUAUAUUGAUGCAACUGAAAUAAAUAAAUACAACAAUCAAAGAAGUGGCAGAUCGUAUUUACAAAAAACAACAUGGAAAAAGCAGUCCUUCUAAAGACACCAAUGGAUCUUUACUGGCAGGCCCUGUGUCACCAGUCAUGUGCAAUGGGAUCAACUUGGUCGACAUUGACUGCCCUCCAUUGUCUCCUCAGAAAUUUGCUAGAAAGAUCAUGAAGAUCUUGUUUACAGAGAAGGAGAUGAUGGAUGGUACCUUUUACAAGAAACGUUUUUCAAAGUCAAAGUCAACGACUGACUCUUGUCUCCAUCAAGACGAGAAUUGAUAUAAUGAGUAAGUUACAAGCACUAAUUGUCUGCAAAUCUGUUUUUGUGUAUAUACAGAUCAUAUGUAUGUUAGCCCCUAUUUGUUGUAUAUCUGUUUCUCGUCAUUUGCCUGCAUCCGAAUGACAGGUACCACUGAUUUCGUUACUCCAUUAUUCAUAAAGUGUGCAUACGCAAUACAA